ensembl:lncRNA
GGGCCAUUGCUGCAGCCUUCCUCUGGUGACGCUGCGCUCUGGGUCACAACACAAUGUUUUCAGCACCCUAAAAUCUUGGCAUGCUCUGGAGCAGUCAGGGCAGUUGCAUCUCAUACUGGGGCAGGAUACUCCCAGCCUGUGUGUGCUGGGGUCCAUCUGUGGUGCUGGGGGGGCUCUUGGCCCCUGGGAGCUGCGGUGCCCCACAAGCCCCCCCACGUGUGUGGGUUGGGGCUGCCAUGGAGUGGGUGCCAUGCUGGGCACCAUAGCCUGUUUGCGCAGAACGAAGCAGCACAUCACAUCCUUCCUGGAGCCACUUCUUCCCUUUGCAGCCCCUGGUUCAGCUCCCCCAGGCUGCACAAAGCCUAACAGCCCUCCACUUUGCAGGAACAUGGGAUCCCAAGCACACUCCUUCGGCAGCAGCAGUGAACCCCUCUCCUCUUUGCCAUUGUCCCACAUUUUACCCAGAGGGGAAACUGAGGCAGAGCCCCACGCAAGACUCAGUUGCCCCAUCAACACGUCCCACCAAACUGUGCCUCACCGUGGCCCCCCAGACCCACACUCGUGCCCUGGGACCCCUCCGGGACCCCCUGCUCCCUUCAGUGUGCCAGCACACAGCCCCGGGGGGGCCUGGAGCCGUUCUCCCGGAGCGGAGGUUCCCCCCCUCCCCGCGCUCAGAGCCCUCGGGGGCAUUUUUCCCACCUGGACAGGGGGAGCUGCUGCCGAUGCCGCCGUUCCCGGCCGGGGAGCACAGAGCCGCGGUUCGGAUAGAGUGUCUCGGUACGCAGCCUCCCCCCCGGGGCCGAAAACGUGGACCGCGAGCCCCGCGCCUGCAGCCCUUACCUGCACCGGAGCCACAGGGGCUCCUCCGGUGGGACGGGACGGGGCAGGGCGGGACGGGACGGGACAGAGUGCUUACUUUCCCCGGGGCCUCUCCGUGCCCGGACACGGCGGCGCUGCGCCGAUACCCCGUGUACGCCGCCGUGCCCGGUGCCCCCGCGCUGCUCCGUACCGAGCGGGGCCGAGCGCGGCUGCAGAGGGGGCGGUGCCCACCGGCGGUGCUGGCCAAUGGUGACACGGGGCUUGCUACGAAGCUGCCAAUAGGAGCGGGGCGGGGGAGUACCGAGGGGGCGGGCGCCCGGUGCUUCCCUCUCGACCCGGUAGCGCCGGGGCCGGGGCCGGGGCCGGGGCCGGGGCCGGGGCCGGGGNGGCCGGGGCCGGGGCCGGGGCCGGGGCCGGGGCCGGGGCCGGGGCCGGGGCCGGGGCCUCCUCCCCGGUGCGCUGCGGGAUGGCCUCGUCUCGGCCGGAACACGGCAGAUCAGGAAAGGUCACAUGCUUUUUGGUGUCCUGAAUUACACUACAACUCAAGGUGGAAGUCGAAGACUCAGAUCCAAGAUCCCAGAGCCACUGCUGACGCUGAACCCAUGAACAGGAGUCCAGGCUGUGUUCAGGAGUUACUCCAGGAUGAGGAACUGCUAUUGGUCCUCAAGCAGGACGGGAGAAGAGCAGAUGAAAAGCUGCAGCUAAGCCUGAUGGACCUGCACAACUCUCAGGUCAUCAUGUGAGAGGCAGCUGUGAGGCAUCAAUUCUUUCCAUGCACGUGAAUUAAUUUUUUCCAUCUGCAAAUUUAGGUGGAAAACUGCAGUUUUCAUUAAUCUUUGUGGAAACAAUGUAAUGGCCCAAAAAACCCUCAAAAUCGCAGCUUUAUGCAGUGACUGCCUGUAGAUUUGUUAUGGCCUAAAACUACCCAUUUUAUUGCAUUAAAAAAAAAAAAAGAAAAAAGCGAAAAAUAAAAUUUGGAGUGCAAGAAAGGCA